UGGUCAUUACCAAGGCUUUUAGAAUGCAGUUUCUGAUUUGCUGUGGAGUUGACCAUAAAAAAAACUCCCCACUGGGCUUUCUUUUGCUACCUUGCUAGCCUUCAGCCUGUUGGGAACAUUC
rnacentral:snoRNA from 1 species